GAUCAUUACCGAAUUGUCAACACGAGUUGUUGCUGGUCCUCAAAACGGGGGCACGUGCACGCUCUGUUCACACAUCCACUCACACCUGUGCACCCUCUGUAGUUCCAUGGCGUGGGGGACUCUGUCCUCCUGUUGUGGUCCUACGUCUUUACACACACUCUGUAACAAAGUCUCAUGGAAUGCAUGACGCGUUUAACGCAAUACAAUACAACUUUCAGCAACGGAUCUCUUGGCUCUCGCAUCGAUGAAGAACGCAGCGAAAUGCGAUAAGUAAUGUGAAUUGCAGAAUUCAGUGAAUCAUCGAAUCUUUGAACGCACCUUGCGCCCUUUGGCUAUUCCGAAGGGCAUGCCUGUUUGAGUAUCGUGAACACCUCAACUCUCAUGGUUUGCCAUGAUGAGCUUGGACUUGGGGGUUUUGCUGGCCUUCGGUCGGCUCCUCUCAAACGGAUCAACUUUCCAGUGUUUGGUGGCGUCACGGGUGUGAUAACUAUCUACGCCUGUGGUUUUCUGCCAGAUAACCUUCAGCGAUGGAGGUUCGCUGGGGCUCAUAAAUGUCUCUCUUCAGUGGAGACAGCUUUUUGGACGUUUGAUCUCAAAUCAGGUAGGACUACCCGCUGAACUUAA
rnacentral:rRNA from 1 species